GACGAACGCUGGCGGCGUGGAUUAGGCAUGCAAGUCGAACGGUAGGAUCCUUUCGGGGAUCUGAGAGUGGCGAACGGGUGAGUAACACGUAGGUGAUCUACCCUCAAGACGGGGACAACCCAGGGAAACUUGGGCUAAUACCGGAUGUGAGCUAUCGCGAGAUAGUUUGAAAGGUGGCUUCGGCUGCCGCUUGAGGAUGAGCCUGCGUCCUAUUAGCUAGUUGGUGAGGUAACGGCUCACCGAGGCAGUGGUAGGUAGGCGGCCUUAACGGGUGGUCGCCCACACUGGGAUUGAGAUACGGCCCAGACUCCUACGGGAGGCAGCAGUCGAGAAUAGUCUACAAUGGUCGAAAGACUGAUAGUGCGACGCCGCGUGAACGAAGAAGCCCUUCGGGUGUAAAGUUCUUUUAUAUGUGAGCAGUGACACCCAUAUUAAUAGUAUGGGUGUAGAGAUAUUAGCAUAUAGAAUAAGCAACGGCUAACUCCGUGCCGCAGCCG
rnacentral:rRNA from 1 species